CCUGACCCAGGAAUCGAACCGGGAUCUCCUGCAUUGCAGGCAGAUUCUUUACCAACUGAGCUAUCAG
rnacentral:tRNA from 1 species